AUGGUAGAAAAGAAAAACCCAGGGUGUGUUGCACUGCCGGAGGCUGGGCAGGUCGCAGCGCUGCUCGGCGCUGGACCCUACCUGGCAGGCGUAUGCCACGCACACCUGGCCCGGUGUGGCUGCCCUCAACAGAAUUGCAUCGCUGACCCUCACCCGCUUACUGUCACCAGCCGCUGGACUGGCUGGGACUGGCUCGGCGUAGGGCACUGCUCCCCGGGCAGCCCGUGCCCCGGUGCAAGGGAGCGGUCCUUACCGAGAGGUGCCCUGUCCCGCGGUGCGAUAAGCUGCUUUGGCUUUGGGCAGAGCAUAGAGGUGGAAAUCCUUCUGAAGGAUGUGGAGAGUAGGCAGCGGGCCAAGCACAAGAUGGAGGGUGGGAAGAAGGAGAAAUAUUUCCUCUUCUACGACGGAGAGACGGUCUCAGGGAAGGUGAACCUUGUGCUCAAGAACUCCAAUAAGCGACUGGAGCACGAGGGCAUCAAGAUAGAGUUCAUCGGGCAGAUCGCUAUUUCCUUCGAGUUACCAUCAGCCGCCGCCUCAAUGACGUUGUCAGAGAGGUGGACAUUGUAGUUCACACACUCAGCCAAUACCCAGAGCUGAACUCUUCCAUCAAGAUGGAGGUUAGCACUGAGGACUGUCUGCACAUUGAAUUUGAGUAUAAUAAAUCCAAAUACCACUUGAAAGAUGUCAUUGUAGGGAAGAUAUACUUUAUGCUGGUGAGAAUCAAAAUCAAGCACAUGGAGAUAGACAUCAUCAAGCGGGAAAUGAUGGGUACAGGCCCCAACGUGUAUCACAAGAAGGACACAAUAGCCAAGUAUGAGAUCAAGGAUGGGGCACCAGUGAGAGGAGAGUCCAUCCAGAUCCGGCUCUUCCUGGCAGGGUAGGAGCUCACGCCCACCAUACGGGACAUCAACAAGAAGUUCUCUGUGUGCUAUUGCCUCAACCUGGUGCUGAUAGACGAGGAGCGGGGCUACUUCAAGCAGCAGGAAGUGGUGUUGUGGCGGAAGGGUGACAUCGUACGGAAGAGCAUGUCCCACCAGGCGACCAUCGCCUCACAGCGCUUCGAGGGCACCACCUCCCUGGGUGAGGUGUGGAACCCCAGCCAGCUAUCUGACAACAGCUGCAGGCAGUAGGUCCCCAGGGCCAAGAAGCUGCUGGGCGUCCACCCAGCACCCCCAUCUACCAACACCAGCGUCUGGUGGUGGGAGUGGACCUUGUGAGGCUCAGUUGACCUGUUACUUGCAACCUGAAAACAAAUCAUGUUUUUGACUUAAAUUAUUUUCUCCGGAGAACCCAAGGGACUUGGGGUGGGAAGCAGUCUCUCCUUGGGAUUCUGCGGCCGAUGUGGGAUAGGAGAGGUAGCAUCCUGGAAGUCAGCCUAUCUGUAGAACAUGAGCCUUCUGUCAAGGCCUUCCUCACAGGGCUGCCUUGUGUCUUACAGGAGGGAGAGUAGAGAGCACACAUCCUUGGCUCCUGGCUCUCCAAGCUUCCUGAUACAGGAUCUGAGCAUGUCCCUAGGAUUCUGAGCUGCCAAUAGGGCCCUGGGUGAUCAUGUCUUGUACUCCUCUCUAUUGUCCCUGAGGUAGUGGCAGGAGUGGGGCCAGCCCCCACUAAAUGGCAGGGGGAAGACUCAUGAUUGGGAAGCUACCUCUUUGGGAAUCUUGGAUGUCAUGAUCUCAAGUUCCCACAGGCCACCUCCUUCUGGCCCCUCACUGCUGGGACCCAAGUACCUCCCUUCUCCAUCCUCUCUGGAUUGUCAGUAAUGUCCUGAAACAGAAGCCUGUGGAAUGGCCUUGGGCACAGAGAAGCCCUGGGGUCAGUGUCAUGCAUGGAUGGUGGCAGUGUUGAACCCAGGAAGCUGAGCCCAGUCAACCAAGAAAGAUCAGAGCAUGGCAACUGCCUGCCUUCACAUGGCUCCACUUUGUAACCCCCAGGUCUGGGCUGUUCUAGGUAUUGCUCCAUGUGUCCCAAUAAGCCCUUAGCAAGAGGGCCUGUUUCCCUUUAGAAGCAAUCCCAGAAAGGGGCCUUGAUCCCUCCACCUUCCUGAUAGUGGACCCUCAUCUCUCCUCGCCCUCCAUUUCAUUUCUGGGAAUUGGGGCUUAGUUUUGAACCCUUAGCAAGGCUGUCCUUACUAAUGCCCAAGCCCCUUUACCUUUCUUCCUACAGGUUAUGCAGGGGAGACCAGGCCUUCUGCAGUAGACUGCUGCCACACUUCUGAAUCAUUCUGGUUGCCAAAUAAUGUCAUCUUCACCAGUUGAUUGACCCAAGUUUAGGACGAUUGGUAUUAAAAUACACAUAUACAAAAAUUCUUGAGAAUAUUCUUGUUAUGCUGGAGAGGAAGGAAGGCACUUCUCCCUCUAUGGCUGUGCUCUGGGGCCUAAGUUGUUUACUGUCCUUUUUCUGCCUCUCCUGGAAGUGACAGGCAUUACUCUCCUAUUGGCUUCCCUCCCCUUUAUAGAAAGACCAAGCAGGCCUCACUGGCCAACAAGUAGAGUAUUUGGCGGUCUGAGUUCUCAGUAAUUUGGAAAGUUAAGGGGUUGGUUCCUGUGUUGCCUUUCAGUUAGUGUGGGAAAGACAGACUCCUGUUUUCCUAAGAUCAGUGCAGUCUCAGGCCUUUGGCAGGGCUCAUGGAUCAGAACUGAGACUGGAGGGAGAGGCAUUUGGGGUAGCCUGGGUGACUAGGGGCAGCAAAACCAAGGAAGGUAAGGUUGUUUCCUCCAUGCAGGGUCCUGUGUUCAGGUGCGACACACAAUCCUCAUGGGAACAGGAUCACCCAUGCACUGCCCUUGAUGAUCAAGGUUGGGGCUUAAGUGGAUGAGGGAGGCAGGUUCUGGGUUCCUUGCCUUUUCAGAGCAUGAGGUCAAGCUCUGGAUGCCUCCUUUUUCUAGUUGGCAUUCUAACUAGAUAACUAGAAGCAUUUGUCAGUUCCUUUGCCUCCCACCUGACAACAUAUGUUCAUUUUCCAACCUUCCUAACAUCUUAAACCUUUCUUCUGGGAGAACUAGAAGAUAGAUUUUGCUUUGAUUCUCUCAGGCGCUGUGCAUGAGCCAGCUCUUCUGUUUUCUCUUACUCUACCCACAUUCUUGCCUUCUCUAUCCAACUGUGAAAGUGAGGGGAGGCUCCUGUCCCUCUCUCUUAAGGUCCCCAAACCUGGGAGUGCAUAGGUACUAAAUCAAGCAGUGCAACUUGUAAUUAAGCAGCUGCAGUGUUUACAUGUUUCUUAAUGUGUCAUCUUUUCAAUGGCUGUAUUUUAAAAGAGCAUUUGUUUUAAUGGUCUCUCUGAUCAAAGGAAGCCCCUGUGGCUUUGGAGGCA